rnacentral:rRNA from 1 species
UACGAAGGGUGCAAGCGUUACUCGGAAUUACUGGGCGUAAAGCGCACGUAGGCGGAUAUUUAAGUCAGGGGUGAAAUCCCGGGGCUCAACCCCGGAACUGCCUUUGAUACUGGGUAUCUGGAGUAUGGAAGAGGUAAGUGGAAUUCCGAGUGUAGAGGUGAAAUUCGUAGAUAUUCGGAGGAACACCAGUGGCGAAGGCGGCUUACUGGUCCAUUACUGACGCUGAGGCGCGAAAGCGUGGGGAGCAAACAGG